GGGAGGAGGGAGCAGGCGUUCCUCUGCUGCUGAAGAGGGCUGUGGAAACUUAAGUCAUAGACAUGCUUCAGUGAGAGGAUGAGGAUUUGCCCAGAUGGGAAGCUUCAAGUGCAGAGGCACUUGUACAUCUACUUAUCUUGAGUCUCAAUGAUGCUGUUUAUGAGUGAGCUAUUCAAAUGGAGGAAGAAACCCACGGAGAAGGAGAAAUAACAGGUCGGAGUGAUUAUGUACAGAAGGAUAGGCUCUAGCAGGAGUCCAGUGGGAAAGAAGGAAGGGAAUACAAUUAAGAAUUAUUAAUGGCAGAUCUCUAAUGAUUUCACUGGAUCCAAAGGAACAGGGCAAUACUGAGUAAGAAACACUUGAUAUACGAAAAAAGCGUGAGUGCGAAGGAAAAUACAUCAUUCUACAGAUGUUGACGGACUCUGACGGUGGGAAAGCGUCCCUCAAGAUUGAAUUGGAGUAGAAGCUGACCCUCCCACUUGCCCAGAGAUCCCCUAGCUGGAUACGAUUUCAGCAAUAGAACACUUGAUCAUCACAGUGCUUGGCAUAUACUUUCCUGAUCAAUUUCAUCACACAAGCUGGCAGCUAUGGGCAGUGAGGGAA
rnacentral:lncRNA from 1 species